rnacentral:pre_miRNA from 1 species
AGAUUUUCUGCUUGAUGAUGAUGAUGAUGAUGUUGGUGAUGUUUAUGAUCAUUUAAAGCAUCAUCAUCAUCAUCAUCAUCAUCAUCAUCAAUG